rnacentral:tRNA from 1 species
GCCGACUUAGCUCAGUGGUAGAGUGCUUCCUUGGUAAGGAAGAGGUCACGGGUUCAAAUCCCGUAGUUGGCU